rnacentral:rRNA from 1 species
UACGGUGGGAGCAAGCGUUGUUCGGAUUUACUGGGCGUAAAGGGCGCGUAGGCGGCACCGCAAGUCGACUGUGAAAUCUCCGGGCUUAACUCGGAAAGGUCAGCCGAUACUGCGGGGCUAGAGUGCAGAAGGGGCAACUGGAAUUCUCGGUGUAGCGGUGAAAUGCGUAGAUAUCGAGAGGAACACCUGCGGCGAAGGCGGGUUGCUGGGCUGACACUGACGCUGAUGCGCGAAAGCUAGGGGAGCGAACGGG